GAGGAUUUAGCUCAGUGGUAGAGCACUUGCCUAGCAAGACAAGGCCCUGGGUUCAGUCCUCA
rnacentral:tRNA from 1 species